UACGUAGGGUGCGAGCGUUGUCCGGAAUUAUUGGGCGUAAAGAGCUCGUAGGCGGUGUGUCACGUCGAUCGUGAAAACUUGGGGCUUAACUCUGAGCUUGCGGUCGAUACGGGCAUCACUGGAGUUCGGCAGGGGAGACUGGAAUUCCUGGUGUAGCGGUGAAAUGCGCAGAUAUCAGGAGGAACACCGGUGGCGAAGGCGGGUCUCUGGGCCGAUACUGACGCUGAGGAGCGAAGGUCAGGGGAGCAAACGGG
rnacentral:rRNA from 1 species